UACGUAGGGGGCGAGCGUUGUCCGAAGUUACUGGGCGUAAAGCGCGCGUAGGCGGUCUCUUAAGUCUGGGGUGAAAGGUUCACGGCUCAACCGGAACAGUGCCUUGGAUACUGGGAGACUUGAAUCUGGCAGAGGAUAGUGGAAUUCCUGGUGUAGCGGUGAAAUGCGCAGAUAUCAGGAGGAACACCGAUGGCGAAGGCAGGUCUCUGGGCCACUACUG
rnacentral:rRNA from 1 species